UGGAGAUUAACAUGCAUUGCUUCCGAUAUGGAGAACCUGAUCUUGCUGUCUCUCUUCUCUAUGCUCUUUUACUUCGAAAACCUAGACCAGAUCACCCCACCAUGAUGCCCAAAUCGAAAACCCUCACCACGGUUCUCUGUCUUCCUCUUCGCCUUCUAUCCCAUUCUCUCAACACACCCACCCUCCCCCCGGUCACCACAAACCCUUAUCUAAAACCAUAUACCCAAACACCACUCUAUCAUCUUAUUCUUGCUGCUCUGAAAAGGUGUGAAAAGAUUUACUUGUCUUUGGUACUGAUUUUGGCUUGGAAAAUCACUUGCUAUAAGGGUAUUAUAUAUUAAAGGUACUACUCUGGACAUGACCUUUUUCCUGAAUGAACUAUCAGGACAUUAAAUUCUCAGUUGAAUUCUCAGCAUGCUCUAUACUGCUUCCGAUUAAGCAGCUGAACAUAACAAACCAUUUAAAGCUGAGGUAUAAAAACCCAGGAUUCAACUAUACUGUAAGAUCACGACUGCCAUGUUUGAGUUCUUGGAAAAAUCCAGUAUGAUAUCUUCUGCCAUCUUCUUGGCUUUUACCUACGGAUCGAUUAGAACCUGACCAUGACAGAGAACAAAAUUUUCAUAUCUACCACAGCUUUGAUCCAGGUCUUAGUGUCUGUUGUAUGGUUUGAUGUAUAAAACAAUAAACAUAUGAUAAUACACUUGUACAGAUAACAGACUAAGAUAAUGAAUUAUUGGCACUGCCUGUUUAUGUUUUUGUAUAUAAUGGCCAUGUGAUUUUGGUGGACGGGUAUGAUUCUAUAUUAACAUUUAUAACGGUACAA